AAAUAGACAUCGAAAAGAAGAGUAGCAAGACUUGUUGUUCAAAGAGAAUCUCUGGUUGGUGCAAAGAGAUAGCACAGGGUUGUGAAACACAUCUUGGAGUCGUUUUUCCGAAGAAGAAGUAGGAAAGACCGGGUAUGCCCGUUAGCGCUGCAGUCAUUGAUUGAUGACUUUCUAAGAUCAGUUUGCCGUGAGGCACUGAUAAACAAAGGUGGAACCGCGUUGAUAACGUCCUUUAGCUGUAAUGGCUAGAGGACGUUUUUUUAUUUUCCGACCGGAUGCCUUUUUACUAUUGGGAAGCCAUAGACUGCUUGAGGUUUUUUCUGAGAGGAAAAAACAAAUUGAGGUGGAACCACGUGUAGCGCGUCCUCUGG
rnacentral:ncRNA from 1 species